UCCAGCAUUUACUCUGUUCCACCCAUGCAUCUCAGACUAGGCAAUCCAUCUGAAGCUAAGCAAGUUUGGGCCUGACCAGUACUUAGAUGGGAGACCAAAUAGGAAAGCUGGGUUGCUGCUGGAA
rnacentral:rRNA from 1 species